GAUGAACGCUAGCGGCAGGCCUAAUACAUGCAAGUCGAACGGGAUCAGGGAGCUUGCUCCCUGUGAGAGUGGCGCACGGGUGCGUAACACGUAUGCAACCUACAUUCAACUGGGGGAUAGCCUUCCGAAAGGAAGAUUAAUACCGCAUAACAUAAUUGAAUGGCAUCAUUUGAUUAUCAAACGUCAGGGUUGAAGAUGGGCAUGCGUCCGAUUAGCGAGUUGGUGUGGUAACGGCACACCAAGGCGACGAUCGGUAGGGGAUCUGAGAGGAUGACCCCCCACACUGGUACUGAGAAACGGACCAGACUCCUACUGGAGGCAGCAGUAAGGAAUAUUGGUCAAUGGACGCAAGUCUGAACCAGCCAUGCCGCGUGCAGGAAGACGGUCCUCUGGAUUGUAAACUGCUUUUGUUAGGGAAGAAACCCUCGGAUGCGUCCGGGGCUGACGGUACCUAAAGAAUAAGGAUCGGCUAACUCCGUGCCAGCCGCCGCAGUAAAAC
rnacentral:rRNA from 1 species